rnacentral:lncRNA from 1 species
GGACCUUGGGUCAGAAGGACUUCUACUACGAUUCUCCCUCUUAAUUUCUUCUGGAUGUUUCCUCAUCUCAAACUAUAUAGACACUGGAAAUCAGCAUCUUCAUUUCAAGUCCAGGUCAUUGGAGACCCAAGGUCAAAUAAGAAAGUCUAG